AGGGAACCCCAUUAAAGCACUGUCAGAAGAACUCCAGUUGCCGCGUCUUCCUUGCUGGCGAGGCGGGCGCGACAAUAUUUUAGUAAUAUGAUCAUUGUGUUCAGAAGCAGAAGAUCUACAUUAGAAUCCUGAUUCUUCCACUUCCUAGCUCUGUGACUUUGGAUUUAAUCUGCUGUGCUGUUUAAAUAACAGGAUAUCUGGAACAUAAGAUUGGGAUCUGGCACAAAGUCACAUAGUCAUUUCUACAUCCUUAUAAAAACAGAUUUUGGGAUUAUUUUGCUUAAGACAAUGCUACUUAAUGCAACACAACAGUCCAAAGAACUAUCAAACUAAAUAUUUCAAAAGUGAUGAAUUAGCAGCAUGAGAGUUAAAGGACAUUAUGAUGGAUUGGGCAGAAAGCUGUUAAGUAUUACCCCAUGAUAUAAGCAAAUGUGGACAUGGUGUUUUAUGAGAAUAACACUAGAAUUGUACAAAUUUUGAAAGAAUUGAAUUUUAGAAUAUUAAUUAUACUCAUCAUUUCAGCACAAGAGCAUUAUGGAAUCUCUAUUAGAUAAAGUAGAAGAUCCACUUUGCAAUCCACAUUCAUUUGAGGUGUAUCAGUGGCAUCAAUAAUUGUUACCUUAGGCUACUGCAAGAGCAAAGAUGAAGAAAAAAGUCUGUGUGGUUCAUUUCAUAAUAGAAGACAUAGAGUCCUUGAAAUUGAGAUGAUACACUUGAGCACAUUUAGUGUUCAGCAAAUAAUUUCUGAAUGUCACUGAUCCUAGAUCAUUUUUAAAAAGCUACUUCCCCUUACUUUGAAAGAUGUGUUAUGCUGCAUUUCAUUACUUUUCUCCUUACCUUAUUCUUCUUUUGUUUUAAAAUAAGUGAUGAGGCUUUCGGUGAAGAUUAAGCACUAGCAGGCAGUAAUGCAAUGGCCCAAACACAGUUUUAAUUGGAACCUCAAAUCCUGUGGAAAAAUAAGAAAUUAAAUCAUUAAUAAAAUGCACUUCCCAGAAGACACUAUGUUGAUAUAUGUUAAGAAGCCUCCAUUAUUUUUUUUCUAUAAGAUUUCUAUAGAUAUAGUUGCAAAAUGUAAAAUUCACUAGCUAUGUCAUAUUAAGGUUAUAUAAUGAAAUUCAGGCUCUUCCAAGGUUUCAGGUAUCAAGGAAUUAAUAAAAAUCCAUAACAAUUUUACAUGUACAAAAUGUUAACAUUAUUAUGCCAACAUUUAUCCUCAUAUUUUCUUAUAAGGUUAUAGUACAUCCAUUGCUUAAUGCAAUCCUGGAAGUACUACAGAGGUCUUUCAGUAUGACCUAAGCAAAACCAAGGCAUGGUGUUAAACAACUCAAGCUGCCACACAGUUGAAAGUAUAGGAAGAAAUGUCAUUACUCAGGAGCUUUGCAAAAACUCUAAUUAUAACUGCUAUCAUUAAAGAAAAUCUUGAAACAAUCUAGUGAGUCACAGAUUAUACGGAGCACAAGCCUGAAGACCAUUAUAAAACAAUACAGAAGCCAUAUUCAAGAAGUAGUAGAUUUAUGAUCCUAUUGAAAAGAUCAAUUCACUAUGUAUUUGGACAAUUAUUAAGCAACCCAGGGCCCAGUUUUGCUUAACAGCAAUGCAAAAUAGUAUAACAAAGAGAUUAAAUCUAGUUGGGGGUAUUAACUGUAAAUGUAACAACUAUAGAUCAGUCCAUAUACAUUAGGAGUAAUGAUCUAAAGCAAUGAUUAACCAUCAAGUGGAAUAUUAUUAUACUUUAAAAAUUGCUUUGGGUAAUCUGUUUUAGGGAGUAGGAGUUUAUCUUCCUAAAUAACAUGUUUUUUCAUUUCAUAAAU